rnacentral:rRNA from 1 species
CUGCUAUCGAGUUCCGACUAAGCCAUGCGAGUCACAGGCCGUAAGGUACUGGCAGACGGCUCAGUAACACGCGGAUAAUCCAACCUUAGGUGGGGCAUAGCCUUGGGAAACUGAGAUUAAUUCCCCAUAGAUCCCGAAAACUGGAAUGUUACGGGUUCAGAAAGUCACGACGCCUAAGGACGAGUCUGCGGCCUAUCAGGUAGUAGGUGGGGUAAAGGCCCACAUAGCCUAUGACGGGUACGGGCCCUGAGAGGGGGAGCCCGGAGAUGGACUCUGAGACACUAGUCCAGGCCCUACGGGGCGCAGCAGGCGCGAAACCUGUGCAAUGCGCGCAAGCGCGACACGGGGAGCCUGAGUGCCUUGACUAAGUCAAGGCUUUUCUUAAGCCUAAAAAGCUUGAGGAAUAAGAGCUGGGCAAGACGGGUGCCAGCCGCCGCGGUAACACCCGCAGCUCGAGUGGUAGUCACUUUUAUUGAGCCUAAAGCGUUCGUAGCCGGUUUUGUAAAUCCUCAGACAAAUUCUCCUGCUUAACGGGAGAUACUCUGGAGAGACUGCGAAACUAGGGACCGGGUGAGGUUGAAGGUACUUCUGGGGUAGGGGUAAAAUCCUGUAAUCCUGGAAGGACGACCAGUGGCGAAGGCGUUCAACUAGAACGGAUCCGACGGUGAGGAACGAGGGCUAGGGGAGCAAACCGGAUUAGAUACCCGGGUAGUCCUAGCUGUAAACA